rnacentral:pre_miRNA from 1 species
CCUUAUCACUUUUCCAGCCCAGCUUUCUAAUGCUAAUUGUUGGACGGAGAACUGAUAAGGGU